rnacentral:rRNA from 1 species
AACGAACGCUGGCGGCAUGCCUAACACAUGCAAGUCGAACGAAGGCUUCGGCCUUAGUGGCGCACGGGUGCGUAACGCGUGGGAAUCUGCCCUUUGCUUCGGAAUAACAGUUAGAAAUGACUGCUAAUACCGGAUAAUGUCGCAAGACCAAAGAUUUAUCGGCAAAGGAUGAGCCCGCGUAGGAUUAGCUAGUUGGUGGGGUAAAGGCCUACCAAGGCGACGAUCCUUAGCUGGUCUGAGAGGAUGAUCAGCCACACUGGGACUGAGACACGGCCCAGACUCCUACGGGAGGCAGCAGUGGGGAAUAUUGGACAAUGGGCGAAAGCCUGAUCCAGCAAUGCCGCGUGAGUGAUGAAGGCCUUAGGGUUGUAAAGCUCUUUUACCCGGGAUGAUAAUGACAGUACCGGGAGAAUAAGCUCCGGCUAACUCCGUG